CAUCAAGAAGCUAUAAUAGCAUUAACCUUUUAAGUUAAAGAUUGAGAACACAAUAUUCUCCUUGAUGA
rnacentral:tRNA from 1 species